AACGAACGCUGGCGGCAUGCCUAACACAUGCAAGUCGAACGAGACCUUCGGGUCUAGUGGCGCACGGGUGCGUAACGCGUGGGAAUCUGCCCUUGGGUUCGGAAUAACAGUGAGAAAUUACUGCUAAUACCGGAUGAUGUCUUCGGACCAAAGAUUUAUCGCCCAGGGAUGAGCCCGCGUAGGAUUAGCUAGUUGGUGGGGUAAUGGCCUACGAAGGCGACGAUCGUUAGCUGGUCUGAGAGGAUGAGCGGCAACACUGGGACUGAGACACGGCCCAGACCCCGACGCGAAGGGGCAGAGGGAGUGGGGAAAAAUGGAGAGGGGGCCGGAGCCAGAAACGGCACUGCCGGGAGGAUGAUGAAGGGGUUGGGAAUGGAAAGCUCUUGUGCCCGGGCGGAAAAGAAGGUAACGGGGAAAGAAGCACCGGGUAACUACGUG
rnacentral:rRNA from 1 species